rfam:Triticum aestivum genome assembly, contig: Triticum_aestivum_CS42_TGACv1_scaffold_249970_3DL
UAAAUACUCCCUCCGUCCCAAAAUUCUUGUCUUAUACUGUAUUUGUCUAGAUACCUAUGUAUCUAAUACUAGAACAUGACUUUAUACAUCUGUAUCUAGACAAAUUUAAGACGAGAAUUUUGGGACGGAGGGAGUAUGAG